rnacentral:rRNA from 1 species
UGGGGGAUAUUGCACAAUGGAGGAAACUCUGAUGCAGCAACGCCGCGUGAGGGAAGAAGGUCUUCGGAUUGUAAACCUUUGUCCUUGGUGACGAUAAUGACGGUAGCCAAGGAGGAAGCUCCGGCUAACUACGUGCCAGCAGCCGCGGUAAUACGUAGGGGGCAAGCGUUAUCCGGAUUCAUUGGGCGUAAAGAGCUCGUAGGCGGCCCGUUAGGUCAGGAGUCAAAUUCGGGGGCUCAACCCCCGCGCGCUUCUGAUACCGGCGGGCUUGAGUUUGGUAGGGGAAGGUGGAAUUCCCAGUGUAGCGGUGGAAUGCGCAGAUAUUGGGAAGAACACCGGUGGCGAAGGCGGCCUUCUGGGCCAUAACUGACGCUGAGGAGCGAAAGCUAGGGGAGCGAACAGGAUUAGAUACCCUGGUAGUCCUAGCCGUAAACGAUGAUUACUAGGUGUGGGGGGUCUGACCCCUUCCGUGCCGGAGUUAACACAAUAAGUAAUCCACCUGGGAAGUACGAUCGCAAGAUUG